AUUGAACGCUGGCGGCAGGCCUAACACAUGCAAGUCGAGCGGCAGCGGGAAAGUAGCUUGCUACUUUUGCCGGCGAGCGGCGGACGGGUGAGUAAUGCCUGGGAAAUUGCCCAGUCGAGGGGGAUAACAGUUGGAAACGACUGCUAAUACCGCAUACGCCCUACGGGGGAGAGCAGGGGACCUUCGGGCCUUGCGCGAUUGGAUAUGCCCAGGUGGGAUUAGCUAGUUGGUGAGGUAAUGGCUCACCAAGGCGACGAUCCCUAGCUGGUCUGAGAGGAUGAGCAGCCACACUGUAACUGAGACACGGUCCAGACUCCUACGGGAGGCAGCAGUGGGGAAUAUUGCACAAUGGGGGAAACCUUGAUGCAGCCAUGCCGCGUGUGUGAAGAAGGCCUUCGGGUUGUAAAGCACUUUCAGCGAGGAGGAAAGGUUGUUGGCUAAUAUCCAACAGCUGUGACGUUACUCGCAGAAGAAGCACCGGCUAACUCCGUGCCAGCAGCCGCCGUAAAAC
rnacentral:rRNA from 1 species